CAGUAGCCGCGGGAAUACGGAGGGGGCUAGCGUUGUUCGGAAUUACUGGGCGUAAAGCGUACGUAGGCGGUUUUGUAAGUUAGAGGUGAAAGCCCGGAGCUCAACUCCGGAAUUGCCUUUAAGACUGCAUCACUUGAACGUCGGAGAGGUGAGUGGAAUUCCGAGUGUAGAGGUGAAAUUCGUAGAUAUUCGGAAGAACACCAGUGGCGAAGGCGGCUCACUGGACACGUAUUGACGCUGAGGUACGAAAGCGUGGGGAGCAAACAGGAUUAGAUACCCCUGUAGUCCCUGUCUCUUAUAC
rnacentral:rRNA from 1 species